UGGCUUUUGAGGGCAGCAUUCUCACCCU
rnacentral:piRNA from 1 species